rnacentral:rRNA from 1 species
CAGCAGCCGCGGGAAUACGGAGGGUGCAAGCGUUAAUCGGAAUUACUGGGCGUAAAGCGCACGCAGGCGGUUUGUUAAGUCAGAUGUGAAAUCCCCGAGCUUAACUUGGGAACUGCAUUUGAAACUGGCAAGCUAGAGUCUUGUAGAGGGGGGUAGAAUUCCAGGUGUAGCGGUGAAAUGCGUAGAGAUCUGGAGGAAUACCGGUGGCGAAGGCGGCCCCCUGGGCAAAGACUGACGCUCAGGUGCGAAAGCGUGGGGAGCAAACAGGAUUAGAUACCCCUGUAGUCCCUGUCUCUUAUAC